CCCGAGCAGGCCUCCCGCCUCUCCCCGGGCCUCCGGUGCGGGCCGGCUGCUGUGCAGGGUCGGAGGUGGCCGAGGGGCUGUCACCAAGCGACCGGCAGCUGGCUAGGCAGGGGAAGCAGGUUUGGAGCCGGGAAGAUGGGUGUCCCGAGCAGGGCAGAGCCACAGAGUGGUAAAAUGUUCGGGUUGGCACCACUAGCGAAGUUAUAAGGAGGGAGGAGAGGCCCGCGACUACGAAGCAUUUGCGAGCUGGGGGAAAGCCAGUACUAGCUCUAUAUCCCAGAGAGAAGCAUCAUGUACACUGAUAUUUCCACAGAUUACCAUUGCACCAUGCUUGCUUUUUCUGUUUCAUGUCUUAAUUUUCAGUUUAAGUUGGCAGUGCUUCCAAAAAAGUAGAUUUUUCUUCAGUCGUGUGCAUGUCCCACAGAAAGGUAGUAUUUCAGCUCUGAGGCUUGUUUCUGUGAUGGAAUUUCUUUGAUUUGGAGACAUGUAUCUCAGUUUUCUUCUUUUUUAAUUUGUUUUAUACUCUCUUAAAAACAGACUUUUAAAGAGGGAAGUGGAGCCUGAUGAUUCAUGCCGAUUCCUCAAAUACGUAACUUAUCUUUCAGACCCUCUGUAAACAUCAAGCGAGGAGGACAUAUUCAACGUCAAAUGUCCAUGUUCAACUUAUUGGUGAUGAAGUGGUAAAGGCACCAACGUUCUGAAGUAUGUUUAGUAGCUUGAUCCAUUUCCCGGGCUAUGGUCUCUGCUUGGAAGGCAAAGAUCCAGUGCCUCCAUUUAUUGACCAGAGAUGGAGAGGGAGGGCUCAGCAGCGCCUGGAGGCUCUUCAGCAGCUUGCUUCAACUCAGUCUUCUCUUCAGAUACCUCAAAUUGUGUAUGAAGAUCCUGAAGUUAGUGGAAGGAAUCGCUACAAAUAUUUUGCACGACCUCUCAUCCCUUCUAAUAAGCUGCUUCCACUAAAUAUUGCUUACACAAUGGAAAAGACAGAGCCCUGUGUCCAUUCAGCUACAAGAGACAGCAACGUCUUUGGUCCCAAGUUACGAACUUUGGGCACACAGACAGAUUACAGGGAUGGAGAAGCCCAGACAGAUCCCUAUUCCCCUGAAUAUGUAGUUCCCAGUGGCUCAGUCCCUGAACUUCUGACACUUGCUACACUCACUUGGGGUCGGGGGUUACCAGCGGGACUAGUCGAGGUGGAGAUGAUUGAAUGCGCCCGGGAAAAACAUGCAUGGGAAGCAACUCUUCCAGCAGCGGACAAUGCCUCACAAAUCACAAAGAGGAGAAAAAUGAUGGAAGAUAUGGAGAGGAAGGAGUGGGCCUUUAGAGAACGGGAAAUAGAAAAGUUGCAGGAGGUUCGACUGGAAGUCUUAAAGAAACUGCUGCGAAGGCGAGAGGAGAAUCAGAAUGAGCUGAAUGCCAAGCGCUUGGAUGACCACUGGCGAAAUCACCAGAAGGUUAAAGAAGAGAAAAUUAAAAAGAUUAACCAUGACUGUGCACUAAUGGUCAGGAAACUGAUAGCUAAGGGGAAUAAUGUGAUGGGGAAGCUGGAGAGACGAGAUAUCAUCAAAGAGUAUACGGACUUUGCAUCACAAACAUAUGCUCCUUUGUCUAGAAUUGGUUAUUUUCCAGACAACCGUUCUGAACGCUAUGUGGUAAAAAACUUGUGUCUUAACACCUUUGCAGGACUGUGUGAACUGGAAGCAUCUCUCCCAGAUUCUGUCACCCAGGUCAAGAUUGAAGCUCCAAAACCUAAGUACACUACCACUAAGACUGGAUUUAUUAAAAGAUCAGCAAAGCUAGAGGUGGAGCUGGCACAAGUUCACCAGGCAGUACUGGAGAAGAAUAAAGUCAAGGAGCCAAAGAAGCCCCUCCAUUUCCUUGAAAAAGUAGAAAAGCCCAUUCCUCGGCCACCCACUCCAAUCCUGGAAAAACCAUCAAUUGAGGAAGAGGAAACAGAACUGGCAGUGAUCUGUCUGCAGAAGUUACUCCGAGGCAGGGCUAUUCAGAACACGAUGUUUGAAGGGAAGGAGAAGCGGCUGGAACUGAUCCAGGAGCUGCGCACCACUCAUGCACUCCAAGAGGAUGGACAGCUGCUUUUGAAAGCGAAGGAGCAAAUGACACAGGCUCUACAGCAACAGCAUGACUUGCAAAUGCACAAGUUGUCAUCAAUGGAAAGCCAUUUGGCUCGGGAAGAAGGAAGGGCACUGGCAAACAUAUUUGAUUUCCUGUCCAAAGAGCUGGUGAGGCUACAAGAAGAACGGAAGAUCCACGCUUUUGUCAUGUUGGCUGAGAGGCAGAGGCGGAUGCGGGAAGCGGAGGAGAGUGGACGUCGUCAGGUGGAAGAGAGGCGGCGGCGGGAAGAAGAUGAGAUUUUCAGACAGGUGGUGAAAGUGCACCAGAGCACUAUUGACUCCUACUUGGAAGACAUUAUCCUGAGUACCGUGGAGAACACAGCCGAAGAACAAGCCAGGGAAGAGGUUCAGAGAAUGGCUGUAGAAAUCAACAACAUUGCUUAUGAAAUGGAAAGUCGUCGAACUCACCUACAGUCAGAAGAGAUUGUAGCAGAGCUGGUUUAUGAUUUCCUGAUUCCGGAAGCUGAGAAAAUGUCUAUCAGAGAAAAAGAUGGAAUUCCCUGUGGAUGGAGGAAGGGACUGCAGCAAUACUAGGAGAGUACUCCUAGUAUAGCUGAUGCAGUUCAUGCACACAUGAUUAAAGCCAAAAUGCUUUGGGUAGAGAAAGCUCUCCUGGGAAUUGAGAGCUGGCUGGUGAAGGUCAGCUUUUCAAAUGCAAGAGAGAUCCAGUUGCAUUCACUGCUGACAAAAUGGACCUGGGAGAUGGAUUAAACACAAGCAGGACAGGUUAUUAAUGUUGAGCAACCGAGUCAGUGACAGGAGGCAGAACUGUGUGACACCAUGCAAGACACCACUGGGUCAGAUUCCAAGUGAAAGUGCAGCUCAGCCUUACAACAAUAACAGCCCAAAGCAACAAGGAAGUCUUGGGCUUUUCCGGGGAAGUGACACAAUGAGAGCCACAGCUCGUUCCUGCAACAUUCCCCACACCCUCCUUAUAAGCCCCCAUGAAUGUUUACCAGCAUCUUAAGUCUAGCGAGAGAACAAGGGAACAAAGAAGAGUGAAGAGCAGCAAGAGGAUUGUAGGGUGAAUGCUUUGCCUUGGUGAGGCAGUCCCAAAGAAAACACAUCUAUGCUGCUCAUCAGAUCAUCCACGGGGGCACAGAGAGGGUAGUGGCUGAUCUGGCACUACAGCGGGAGACAUCUGCCAGUGAGACAA